UACGUAGGGGCAAGCGUUGUCCGGAUUCAUUGGGCGUAAAGCGCGGGCAGGCGGCCCGCUCAGUCGGCCGUGAAAGCGCCGGGCUCAACUCGGCGAGGUCGGGCGAUACUGGCGGGCUCGAGGCUGGUAGAGGGCGGUGGAAUUCCGGGUGUAGUGGUGGAAUGCGUAGAGCUCCGGAGGAACACCAGUGGCGAGGCGGCCGCCUGGGCCA
rnacentral:rRNA from 1 species